CGGGGCGGCGGGGCGGCGGGGCCGGGGGCGGCGGGGCCGGGGGCGGCGGGGCCGUGGCGCGGCCGGGGCGGCGGCGGGCUCUAGGGGGGGCCGGGGCGGGCCGCGGGCGCGCUCAUGGCCGCUGCGGCCGCCAUGUGCUGCCGCCUCCCAGGGCCAUGGCGGGAGGGACCUGCGCCGUGCGCCGCUCGAGGCCCGGGCCAGGCUGAGGCGGCCUCGCGCGGGCGGCGGCGGCGGGCGGGGCGGGGCGGCGCAGGCUGACGCACGCGGGCCGGCGGAGGGCGGAAGAGGCGGCGCCGCGGCCUGGGGCCCGCUCCCCGCCGGGAUCCGGGCGGGCCGGGCCGGGCCGAGCCGGGCGGACGGGCGGGCGGGCGGGCAGGGGGCGCCGCGGGGGCUGAGCGGGGGCGGGGGCGGGGGCGAGAGGGGCGCCGCGGGGCGGGGGCGGGGGGUCCCGGGGAGAGCCCGUCCUUGUCCCUGAGGUCCCAUCACCCUGGAGAGACCCCGUCCUCGUCCCCGGGUCCCGUCACUCCGAGAACACCCCGCCCCCCGUCCUCGGCUCCCGUUACCCCAAGAUGACCCCUCCCCGCCCCCCUCCUCUGGUCCUGUCACCCAGAGAAGACCUCUCCCCGCCCCCCAUCCGCGGGUCCUGGCACCCGAGGAGACCCCGGCCUUGUCCCUGGGCUCCCGUCACCCUGGAGCGACCGGGUCCUCGUUCCCGGGUCCCGUCACCCCAAGGAGAUCCUGUCCCCAUCCCAGGCGUCCCAUCACCCUGGGAGACCCCAUCCCUGGAGUCUCGUCCCCCCAUCCCUGGGGCCCUGUCACCCCGGGGAGAUCCCGUCUCCCCUCCCCUGGUCCCUGAGGUCCCGUCACCCAAGGGAGACCCCGCCCACCACCUCUGGGAUGCCAUAACCCUGAAGAGACCACAUCCCUGGGGUCCCGACACCCCAAAAAGGCUGGGUGCAGUCCCCGAAGCCGCUCAGCCCGAGGUGGGACACGUGCCACGGCCCGGGCACCUGGGAGGGAGGAGCAGCCGAGGGCAGUGUCCGGGUGGAGAGAGGACUCAGGUGGUUGCACCGCUGCGUGUCCUGCGGGAAACCUCUCCGGAGGAGCAGGCCCAGACAGCAGGUGCAGAGCAGAUGGAGCCCGCCCCAUGCCGGCUUCAAGAAGCCCCCAUACUCUCUGUCCCUGAAAAGGCAAGUUGA
rnacentral:lncRNA from 1 species